CCUCUGGCUCUGGGUAUCCUGACAACAAAGCGAGAGAUGGAACAACAGCAAGUGAGAUCCAAAGCGAUGGGAGGAGACACAGAGAGGCAAGGGCCGGACAGUACCAGUGCCCAGGCCUGGUCACAGCUCAGCUUCAGAAAGAAGGAUCUGUCAAAGCAGAAAGCAUUUCCCCUUCUGACUGGAAGGAAGAGAACUGGUUUUUACACUGGGGACCAGACUCAGCUCUUCAUGCUUGCAGGGAAAGCACUUUAUCGGCUGAGCCAUUCCUCUACACCUGGAAAUAUAGUUCUGAAGGUCUUCCAGCUCUGCUCCUGCUUCCUCUGCGGCACCAGAACUGUUCACUAAGGUCACCUGUGACUCGCACAUCCUCGAACAUCGCUAAAUCGAUGGUCCAUUCUUAGGCCUGACUGCUCAUUUCCUAGACUGGCUCUAGCUGAUCAAGAAGCAGCAAGGACCCUGCUGUUGUGAUCUCUGGCCCAGCCCUCUCCUCUCAACUCCUGACCUGCACAUUGACUUCAUAUCUGCACUGGAAGGCCUAACAAGCAACAGACAACAGACUCCUUAUCCUUAUCCCAAGCUGAUUGACACAGCUCAGUAAGUGGAUAAUCCCCCCAGUGUGGUUCAGGCCAAAGCACCGAGCCCUUUUACCUUUCUUCUCCUCACACCCACUCUGUCAGACAGACCUACAGGCUCUCCCUGAAGAACAGAUCCAGAAUCUGACCGUUUCCUGUCACGGCCUAGUCCCCAUCACCUUCAUCCCCCACUUGGGUCACAGGGAGACCUUCCCCACUGGCCUUGCUUCCUCUGCCUCGGCCUCUCGGCCUCUCGGGAGUGGAGCUUCCCUGUCAGUCUACCCUCCCCCACACUCAGCACCCAGGAGCCCCGCCUCACACAGGCACACGUCGUCUGCACCCUAUCACUGGCCCAAUCCUGUCUCCCUCUCCCCUUUGUGCCUCAGUCUUGCUGGGUCACCCUAACCCAGCACAGGAGGCCACAUCCUGCGCAGCUCUGCUUCCUGUCUGACUCCUCACAGGGACCUUCUGACACCCUGUGCGAGCCUGUGGCUCUCUCCCCCCAGCCUUGCCAUCCCUCUUCUUGUUUCUUCCCUCCUAGAACACAGUGCCAUGCGACACAUUGAGCUUGCUAAUUUGUGUGCGCCCUAUCUGUUAAGGAAUGCACACCGUGGGACAUCAGCUCCAUGGCAGAGGGGACUUAUCAGUGUUCCACACUGCUGCGUCCCCAGUUCCGAGAAUAGAGCCCGGUAAUGCAAUCCACAAUAAAUAAAUAUUCACCGAUGAACACAUCGACAGUACGAAGAGUCUGGUCCAGAGAAGGAAGUGAGCCUCUUGGCUGGGGAUUUGGUCUGGGAUGGAGUAACACUGAAGACACGGGUGCAUCACCUGCACCUCCCCUUCCCCCCACUAAUCAGGACAGGACGCUGUAAGCUUAGCUCCUUGGCCAUCCCUCCUACUAGACCCCAGACCCACGUGGGCAGGAGCCAUCCUUUGCUCACUGCCUUAUCUCUAUCACCUGCACCAGUGUCUGCAUAGUGGUUACUCCAUAACAUGGGCAAGGAAAGGAGUGAGGCGGGAGGAAGCAAACACAAGGUGGUUGGGGAGGGCAAGGCUGACACGGGAACCCCAGCCAAGGCACACAAGGAAGAGCAAAGGGCAAGCUAGGGAACUCAAACACCAGAGGGGAGCAGGGGAGGCAGGGCUACAGCUGGCUCAGCCAGGAACAAACUGGGCCAGGCUGGCUGUAAACCGAGCCCUGUGUUUCCACUGUGCGCUAAAGCCCUUGGUUACAUCACUGUGCAUGUGGCCAGGGCCAGCGCAGGUGCUCUCACCAUCUUGUGGGAUGAUCUCACCCACCAGGGCCUUGGAGCCUUCUGCCUCAUGACCUGCCCGGGACACCCUCAGCCUCCAGUCCAGAGAGGCCGGAGCGGGACAAAGGCAUGGUGCAAGGAGGAGAAGAACACUGAGUGGCCUACACAGCUGCGGCCUCCCCCACAGGACCUCCUUGUGAUUCUGCCAAUAGUGGGGAUCAAGCUGUCAAUUCAGGGCUUCAUAGCAAGAAUGGCUUUGAAAACAAGCUUGUUUGGGGAACAUGCUGCUUAUUUCCUGGAUAAUGUGAACUAUAUUAUAUAAAUACUCAAAAGCCAGAGAGAGAUAGGUCCUUAACUCAGCGUCACACGUACUUCUACACAUGUUACACACACACAAAC
rnacentral:sRNA from 1 species